rnacentral:SRP_RNA from 1 species
GCUGUGGCCCCGGCAACAGCGGCCCGAUAACCCGCCAGGCCCGGAAGGGAGCAACGGUAACGGGUGCCGCCGUGUGCCGGGGCCGCCUUACU